rnacentral:ncRNA from 2 species
UUUUAUAAAAAUGCAUCAGGUGCUGUGUAACGAAUGUACGCAGCUUAAAAGGGAAGACCGGUGAAAAGCCGGCGCGGUCCCGCCACUGUAAUGGGGAGCAACUUAUUAACCACUGUUUCAUGUUGAAAUGGGAAGGGAUAGGAAGCGAUGAACCUAAGUCAGGAGACCUGCCUGUUGUAUGCACUUAAG